rnacentral:rRNA from 1 species
UGGGGAAUAUUGCACAAUGGGCGCAAGCCUGAUGCAGCCAUGCCGCGUGUGUGAAGAAGGCCUUCGGGUUGUAAAGCACUUUCAGCGGGGAGGAAGGCGAUAAGGUUAAUAACCUCAUCGACUGACGUUACCCGCAGAAGAAGCACCGGCUAACUCCGUGCCAGCAGCCGCGGUAAUACGGAGGGUGCAAGCGUUAAUCGGAAUUACUGGGCGUAAAGCGCACGCAGGCGGUCUGUCAAGUCGGAUGUGAAAUCCCCGGGCUCAACCUGGGAACUGCAUUCGAAACUGGCAGGCUAGAGUCUUGUAGAGGGGGGUAGAAUUCCAGGUGUAGCGGUGAAAUGCGUAGAGAUCUGGAGGAAUACCGGUGGCGAAGGCGGCCCCCUGGACAAAGACUGACGCUCAGGUGCGAAAGCGUGGGGAGCAAACAGG